GAGCUGUCUCUCUCUUCUGAGGGGUAGGCAGGUGCUUCCGAAUCGCGGAAUGUAGGUGCUCAUAAGCUGGAGACCCACGGAAAGAACCUAGAAGCUCCGAGCGGUUGCAGACAGCACUGCAUUGAGCCAACGACUCCUGCUCUACUGAUGGUGAUUCCACAGCUUUGUGAGGAAUAAGUUAAGAUGAAUUUCCCCUGGACUUCUUUCUCUCUCCUGCCGCCUUGUGAAGAAGGUGCCUGCCUCCCCUUCCACCACGAUUCUAAGUUUCCUGAAGUCUCCCCAGCCAUGCUGAACUGAUAAGGUCCAUCUUGGCAAAUGGUCUGUGUGCACAAGAAAGAAUGUGAAUUCUGCAGUUGUUGGAAUGUUAUCUUAUCUGGAAGAAGAGGAAUAGGAAAGAAAAGGAGUCAGGAAUGGAUCUUACUCAGAAGGCUGACUAGACACAGCCAGGUGGAAGAGCUCCCACUGCGGGACCAAGAUGACUGGAAUGCCCCUAACAGAUCUUCAGAGGGAAGAAACCAGGAGUGGACAGAGAGAAGACACAGAAGCUGGGCUGAAGGUAGUGAAAGCUGGGAAUGUGGCACAGGACUACUGCACACCAGGUUUUGUUCCUGGCCCACAAUGGCUCUGGGGGAUCAGGUUGAAGGAAAAUUACCCUGGAUGGAAGAUCAGAGGUAUAGAAAGAAAUGGAGAGCAAAGAAAGAGAUGCUGUGGUGUGAAGUUGGGGUGUGUGGUACUCUUGAAGGCAUCAGGCUGAGGUGAAAGGAGAAAACCAAAGAACAAAGGUAACAUUCUAAGGAUGGCUGAAUGGACAGAUGAAAAGACUGUGCUGGAUUAACCAAUCCUAAUGUGUCCGGAAUUGGUGGGUUCUUGGUUUCACUGACUUCAAGAAUGAAGCCGCGGACCCUCUCCGUCAGUGUUACAGUUCUUAAAGGCGGCGUGUCCGGAGUUUGUUCCUCCUGAUGUUCAGAUGUGUUCGGAGUUUCUUCCUUCUGGUGGGUUCGUGGUCUCGCUGGCUCAGGAGUGAAGCUGCAGACCUUCGCGGUCUGCAGGCUCAGAAGUCCAAGAUCAAGGAGCUGGCAUUGGAUGAGGGACUUCUUGCUGCAUCAUCCCAUGACAGAAGGACAAAGAAAGGGAGGGAGAGAGACAAAGAGAGAGUGAGAAAGAGAAAGAGGGGGGAAAAUUCUCUCUGUCUACCUUUUAUAAUGAACCUACUCUCGUGA
rnacentral:lncRNA from 1 species